rnacentral:rRNA from 1 species
GGCGCACGGGUUGAGUAACACGUUGGGNUAAUCUGCCCUUGAGUUUGGGAUAACCCCGCGAAAGCGGGGCUAAUACCGAAUAAGACCACGGAGACCAAAGUCUCUGAGGUAAAAGAUGGCCUCUAUUUAUAAGCUAUCACUUGAGGAUGAGCCCGCGGCCCAUUAGCUAGUUGGUAGGGUAAUGGCCUACCAAGGCUAUGAUGGGUAGCUGGUCUGAGAGGACGAUCAGCCACACUGGAACUGAGACACGGUCCAGACUCCUAC